CACGUAGGGCGCGAGCGUUGUCCGGAAUUAUUGGGCGUAAAGAGCUCGUAGGCGGCCUGUUGCGUCCGCUGUGAAAGCCCGGGGCUUAACCCCGGGUCGGCAGUGGAUACGGGCAGGCUAGAGGUAGGUAGGGGAGAAUGGAAUUCCCGGUGUAGCGGUGAAAUGCGCAGAGAUCGGGAGGAACAUCGAGUGGCGAAGGCGGCCAUCGUGGGACAACACUGACGCGAUGAGGCAGGAAAGCGACUGGGGAUGGACCAAA
rnacentral:rRNA from 1 species